rnacentral:rRNA from 1 species
AAUAGAUACCCCGGUAGUCCACGCCGUAAACGAUGAGUGCUAAGUGUUAGGGGGUUUCCGCCCCUUAGUGCUGCAGCUAACGCAUUAAGCACUCCGCCUGGGGAGUACGGUCGCAAGACUGAAACUCAAAGGAAUUGACGGGGGCCCGCACAAGCGGUGGAGCAUGUGGUUUAAUUCGAAGCAACGCGAAGAACCUUACCAGGUCUUGACAUCCUCUGACAAUCCUAGAGAUAGGACGUCCCCUUCGGGGGCAGAGUGACAGGUGGUGCAUGGUUGUCGUCAGCUCGUGUCGUGAGAUGUUGGGUUAAGUCCCGCAACGAGCGCAACCCUUGAUCUUAGUUGCCAGCAUUCAGUUGGGCACUCUAAGGUGACUGCCGGUGACAAACCGGAGGAAGGUGGGGAUGACGUCAAAUCAUCAUGCCCCUUAUGACCUGGGCUACACACGUGCUACAAUGGACAGAACAAAGGGCAGCGAAACCGCGAGGUUAAGCCAAUCCCACAAAUCUGUUCUCAGUUCGGAUCGCAGU